CGGAGGGUGCAAGCGUUAAUCGGAAUUACUGGGCGUAAAGGGUUCGUAGGUGGUUUAUUAAGUUAUUUGUAAAAUCCCUGGGCUUAACCUGGGCAGGUCAGAUAAUACUGGUAGACUCGAGUAUGGGAGAGGGUAGUGGAAUUUCCGGUGUAGCGGUGAAAUGCGUAGAGAUCGGAAGGAACACCAGUGGCGAAGGCGGCUACCUGGCCUAAUACCGACACUGAGGAACGAAAGCGUGGGGAGCAAACAGGAUUAGAUACCCUGGUAGUCCACGCCGUAAACGAUGUCAACUAGCUGUUGGUCAUAUUGAUAUGAUUAGUGGCGCAGCAAACGCGAUAAAGUUGACCGCCUGGGGAGUACGGUCGCAAGAUUA
rnacentral:rRNA from 1 species